CACAGCUAUAGUCAGCUUGAAGCUGGGUAGCUCAUUUGAACCCACUAUAAAAGAAAAGAUUGUUUUCUCAUCCUAUUAAAACUCAGUUAGCAACGGCCGUGUAGGCGGCAGGAGAUCAGAAAUGAACAUCCAACUUGGAGUUUGUACAACUGGGGUCAGGUCCAAAGCAAACUGCCUGAUUAGUGAAACAAUUUGUAUUUUACAAUGACAGCAAAUAGGUAAAUCUUGUGAGCAUCAGGAAAUCCUGGAGGAUUUUGAAUGGGAGCACUGGCUGGUUUGCAAGCUGCACUUUGAUUAGAAGGCGUCAUUGCCGCUGCUUUUUUUGUACUCAUAUUGCAGGGACAUAAACAAGAGGGACUCGAUUUGCUAAGGGUAUUUAUUUCUCUGUCUCUGUCUCUCUCACUUGUUUUUACAAUCUACAUGUAAUGACUAAUUGGCUGUGUUUUCCCAGCUAUUUUAUGUUUCUCUUGCCCUUGUUACAAGUCGUACUAAGCCAGUAUAUCCGUGGGGACCUAUAGACAGCCAACAUUGCCAAAUGAUAUGCAGCAUUCCCCUUUCUCUCUAAGUGUAAAACAUUUACAAGUAAAUUUACAAAUGCAUUAAGAACAUUUCCCCCGUUGGCUGUUAGUGUUUAUUUCUUCCCCUUCUCCUCCUGGGAGUGGACACCUUUCAGCCCCUCACCUUUCACACACUGCUCUCCUGUUAUUUGCCUCCAUCCCUCCCCGUCGCCCCAUUCCCUUCUCCUCCUCCUUCUCCUUUUCCAGUUCAGCAGCGCAGAUUUCUGUUUGUGCCAGUGGGGCGGCCUGGCGAGACCGCAAUUGCUCUACCCCACAGAUUGACGAGCCCUCAGAUGCCGAUUUACUGUACAUGGCAGCCACGCUGGAGCCGAGGCACAUCUGGAGUGGAGUAAGCUUACUCAGAAACAGGGGCCAGCUCCAGCCGGAGCCAGCAGAGCUGAGCACGGCGCUGAAAGGCAGCCCUCCUGCCUCCCCUUCCCUCCUCCCCGGCACAUAUUUGAAAUUGAUUCAGCUCCUUGUCUUGCACUAAUGCCAAAAGUCCCUUAAGUCUCAAAAUAAAAUCUUCUUGGUAGAUGACUACGCAUCCUACUGGUUAUGCUAUUAUGAUUAUAUCAAUAGCAUGUUCUCCAACUUAAGCAGUGUGCAGGUGCAAAACUCUCAUUCAACAGUACAUAACUCUUUCAUCUGCCAUUUCUUGCCAGUAGAUUUCCUGCACAUAUGAAUGUUUCUUGUGAAAUUUCUGAAGAAUAACUGCUGGGCUUUUGCCAGUUGUAAGAAAACAAAUACACAAACAAUCCUCCUUCCAAAAUUCAACAGCUACCCCCUUCCCCAAUCCUCUCUUUUAGAAAAUACUACUACAUAGUAGAUGUUCUACAUCUAACCAAAAAAAAAAGUUUGUGAAAAAAUAUGUAGUACUGUGGAUUAAUGUAGCAAAGGUAAAAGUAAAAAAUUUACUAGAGCUGAGUGGUGCCAAUAAUGUCAUCAGAGCCUGCCUGUCUGUUAGUAUGUUCCUUUGGCUCACAUGGGUGCCUCAAUUUAAAUAUGUGCACACGCCUAUCCUUACUCAGUUACUCACUCUCUGACACUUCUUUUGAAUCCCAUCCCAUUAUAUUAGAUUUAAAAGAGAUUGGCUAUGGCAAAUAAUAAUAAAAUUUCAAAGAAGCCUUAACUCAGUGUUUUUUUUUUUAAGUAAAUGCAGCUUUAGGACCUAUGUGCAUGCUCAAGCAGAAGUGAAACCUAUAGAAUUUGCAUUCGCAAACUGUGUUUAUUCCAGUAGGCUCUGUUCUCUGUGACCAUCACCCAGAAACAAGGACCGAAGAGCAUUUGGGAGUCGGAGGAGAGUUAAGGGUUUGAAAAGUGUAUCAGUAGGUGUUAGUCUGCAAAAACAUAUGUGUGUGGGAAAAGGGCAGUUAAACUAACCCAGCUAUUAAUACUGUACUUUAAAGGGCAGUAGAUCUCUUUAACAUCUAAAUAAACUGAGAAAUCUGCCUAGAAGUAAAAAAGAAAUUUCCAGUUUCAAGUGUGUUAUUUCCUCUCAAUGUGAUUAUUUACAGUAUAUCUGUUCCAUGUUUUUUUUCAGAAUAUGUUAUUGACAUUUGAAUGGUAUUUCAGCAGAAGAUUGUGACAGAUGUGAAACAGUCAAACACCAGCAUUUGCAGUAUUUUUGACCCCAGGAUAAACUGUUGUACUUUAAAAAAAUUAUCCUGUUGUACUUCCUUUGCCUGCUUUCAGUGUUUUGUUUUGCUAAAGCAAUAAAAGAGUCAUUCAACUGGA